AAGGCUAAAUACUCCUGACUGACCGAUAGUGAACCAGUACCGUGAGGGAAAGGCGAAAAGAACCCCGGCGAGGGGAGUGAAAAAGAACCUGAAACCGUGUACGUACAAGCAGUGGGAGCCUCUUUAUGGGGUGACUGCGUACCUUUUGUAUAAUGGGUCAGCGACUUAUAUUCUGUAGCAAGGUUAACCGAAUAGGGGAGCCGAAGGGAAACCGAGUCUUAACUGGGCGUUAAGUUGCAGGGUAUAGACCCGAAACCCGGUGAUCUAGCCAUGGGCAGGUUGAAGGUUGGGUAACACUAACUGGAGGACCGAACCGACUAAUGUUGAAAAAUUAGCGGAUGACUUGUGGCUGGGGGUGAAAGGCCAAUCAAACCGGGAGAUAGCUGGUUCUCCCCGAAAGCUAUUUAGGUAGCGCCUCGUGAAUUCAUCUCCGGGGGUAGAGCACUGUUUCGGCAAGGGGGUCAUCCCGACUUACCAACCCGAUGCAAACUGCGAAUACCGGAGAAUGUUAUCACGGGAGACACACGGCGGGUGCUAACGUCCGUCGUGAAGAGGGAAACAACCCAGACCGCCAGCUAAGGUCCCAAAGUCAUGGUUAAGUGGGAAACGAUGUGGGAAGGCCCAGACAGCCAGGAUGUUGGCUUAGAAGCAGCCAUCAUUUAAAGAAAGCGUAAUAGCUCACUGGUCGAGUCGGCCUGCGCGGAAGAUGUAACGGGGCUAAACCAUGCACCGAAGCUGCGGCAGCGACACUAUGUGUUGUUGGGUAGGGGAGCGUUCUGUAAGCCUGUGAAGGUGGCCUGUGAGGGUUGCUGGAGGUAUCAGAAGUGCGAAUGCUGACAUAAGUAACGAUAAAGCGGGUGAAAAGCCCGCUCGCCGGAAGACCAAGGGUUCCUGUCCAACGUUAAUCGGGGCAGGGUGAGUCGACCCCUAAGGCGAGGCCGAAAGGCGUAGUCGAUGGGAAACAGGUUAAUAUUCCUGUACUUGGUGUUACUGCGAAGGGGGGACGGAGAAGGCUAUGUUGGCCGGGCGACGGUUGUCCCGGUUUAAGCGUGUAGGCUGGUUUUCCAGGCAAAUCCGGAAAACCAAGGCUGAGGCGUGAUGACGAGGCACUACGGUGCUGAAGCGACAAAUGCCCUGCUUCCAGGAAAAGCCUCUAAGCAUCAGGUAACAUCAAAUCGUACCCCAAACCGACACAGGUGGUCAGGUAGAGAAUACCAAGGCGCUUGAGAGAACUCGGGUGAAGGAACUAGGCAAAAUGGUGCCGUAACUUCGGGAGAAGGCACGCUGAUAUGUAGGUGAAGCGACUUGCUCGUGGAGCUGAAAUCAGUCGAAGAUACCAGCUGGCUGCAACUGUUUAUUAAAAACACAGCACUGUGCAAACACGAAAGUGGACGUAUACGGUGUGACGCCUGCCCGGUGCCGGAAGGUUAAUUGAUGGGGUUAGCGGUAACGCGAAGCUCUUGAUCGAAGCCCCGGUAAACGGCGGCCGUAACUAUAACGGUCCUAAGGUAGCGAAAUUCCUUGUCGGGUAAGUUCCGACCUGCACGAAUGGCGUAAUGAUGGCCAGGCUGUCUCCACCCGAGACUCAGUGAAAUUGAACUCGCUGUGAAGAUGCAGUGUACCCGCGGCAAGACGGAAAGACCCCGUGAACCUUUACUAUAGCUUGACACUGAACAUUGAGCCUUGAUGUGUAGGAUAGGUGGGAGGCUUUGAAGUGUGGACGCCAGUCUGCAUGGAGCCGACCUUGAAAUACCACCCUUUAAUGUUUGAUGUUCUAACGUUGGCCCGUAAUCCGGGUUGCGGACAGUGUCUGGUGGGUAGUUUGACUGGGGCGGUCUCCUCCUAAAGAGUAACGGAGGAGCACGAAGGUUGGCUAAUCCUGGUCGGACAUCAGGAGGUUAGUGCAAUGGCAUAAGCCAGCUUGACUGCGAGCGUGACGGCGCGAGCAGGUGCGAAAGCAGGUCAUAGUGAUCCGGUGGUUCUGAAUGGAAGGGCCAUCGCUCAACGGAUAAAAGGUACUCCGGGGAUAACAGGCUGAUACCGCCCAAGAGUUCAUAUCGACGGCGGUGUUUGGCACCUCGAUGUCGGCUCAUCACAUCCUGGGGCUGAAGUAGGUCCCAAGGGUAUGGCUGUUCGCCAUUUAAAGUGGUACGCGAGCUGGGUUUAGAACGUCGUGAGACAGUUCGGUCCCUAUCUGCCGUGGGCGCUGGAGAACUGAGGGGGGCUGCUCCUAGUACGAGAGGACCGGAGUGGACGCAUCACUGGUGUUCGGGUUGUCAUGCCAAUGGCACUGCCCGGUAGCUAAAUGCGGAAGAGAUAAGUGCUGAAAGCAUCUAAGCACGAAACUUGCCCCGAGAUGAGUUCUCCCUGACUCCUUGAGAGUCCUGAAGGAACGUUGAAGACGACGACGUUGAUAGGCCGGGUGUGUAAGCGCAGCGAUGCGUUGAGCUAACCGGUACUAAUGAACCGUGAGGCUUAACCUU
rnacentral:rRNA from 3 species